rnacentral:rRNA from 1 species
GACGAACCGUGCGAACGUUAUUCGGAAUCACUGGGCUUAAAGCGCGUGUAGGCGGGCCGGCACGUCGGUCGCUGAAAUCCCCCGGCUCAACCGGGGAAGUGGCGCCGAUACGACCGGCCUCGAGGGACGUAGGGGGGGCUGGAACUUCCGGUGGAGCGGUGAAAUGCGUUGAGAUCGGAAGGAACGCCCGUGGCGAAAGCGGGCCCCUGGACGUCCACUGACGCUGAGACGCGAAAGCCAGGGGAGCGAACGGG